GCGAAUGGCUCAUUAAAUCAGUUAUCGUUUAUUUGAUAGUACCUUACUACUUGGAUAACCGUGGUAAUUCUAGAGCUAAUACAUGCUGAAAACCCCAACUUCGGGAGGGGUGUAUUUAUUAGAUAAAAAACCAACGCCCUUCGGGGCUUCUUGGUGAUUCAUGAUAACUUUACGGAUCGCAUGGCCUUGCGCCGGCGACGGUUCAUUCAAAUUUCUGCCCUAUCAACUUUCGAUGGUAAGGUAUUGGCUUACCAUGGUUUCAACGGGUAACGGGGAAUUAGGGUUCGAUUCCGGAGAGGGAGCCUGAGAAACGGCUACCACAUCCAAGGAAGGCAGCAGGCGCGCAAAUUACCCAAUCCCGACACGGGGAGGUAGUGACAAUAAAUACUGAUACAGGGCUCUUUUGGGUCUUGUAAUUGGAAUGAGUACAAUUUAAACCUCUUAACGAGGAACAAUUGGAGGGCAAGUCUGGUGCCAGCAGCCGCGGUAAUUCCAGCUCCAAUAGCGUAUAUUAAAGUUGUUGCAGUUAAAAAGCUCGUAGUUGAACCUUGGGUCUGGCUGGCAGGUCCGCCUCACCGCGUGUACUUGUCCGGCCGGGCCUUCCUUCUGGAGAACCUCAUGCCCUUCACUGGGCGUGUUGGGGACCAGGACUUUUACUUUGAAAAAAUUAGAGUGUUCAAAGCAGGCCUUUGCUCGAAUACGUUAGCAUGGAAAUAAUAGAAUAGGACGUGCGGUCCUAUUUUGUUGGUUUCUAGGACCGCCGUAAUGAUUAAUAGGGACAGUCGGGGGCAUCAGUAUUCAAUUGUCAGAGGUGAAAUUCUUGGAUUUAUUGAAGACUAACUACUGCGAAAGCAUUUGCCAAGGAUGUUUUUCAUAUCAGUGAACGAAAGUUAGGGAUCGAAGACGAUCAGAUACGUCGUAGUCUACGUAAACUAUGCGACUAG
rnacentral:rRNA from 1 species